GUCUAUAGCCAUACCACUCUGAGUGUUCCUUGUGAGAAGCUAAGCAGAGUUGAACCUGGUUAGUACUUGGAUGGGAGACCACCUGGGAAUACCGGGUGCUGUGGACU
rnacentral:rRNA from 1 species